rnacentral:lncRNA from 1 species
UCCAACGUUCAGGGAAGUUAAAGACAGUUUGGUGUUUGAUGGACUAUGGAGAGUGUGUAGUGAGGUUUUAGGGUUGAGCAGAGUCGGCGCCGCCACCGGAGAAAUUGGGGCGGUGCUAAGGUUCAUAACUUCCAACCAAGAUUCGAAGAGCUUGGGUAGGUUUUGAGGGAAGCUAGAGUUGGAUUGGGGAUGUGGAGGCAGAGAAGAAGCUAUGGUGUGAAUUUGAAGGCCAUUGGAGACUUGCCGCCGCUGUAGGGCAAUUUUCGGCAACGGGGGAUGGUGAUGUUACGCUGGGUCUCUGAGGGGUGUU